rnacentral:misc_RNA from 1 species
GAUGAAGAACGUAGCGAAAUGCGAUAAGUAAUGUGAAUUGCAGAAUUCAGUGAAUCAUCGAAUCUUUGAACGCACCUUGCGCCUUUUGGUAUUCCGAAAGGCACACCUGUUUGAGCGUCAUGAAUACCUCAAUCUCCAUCUUUUCUUCGGAUUGAUGGGUGACUUGGAUGUUGAGCCCUGCUGGUAUGCUAUAUCAGCUGGCUUUAAACUUAUUAGCCGGCUCUGUACUGGAUCGGUUUGACUCGACGUGAUAAUAUUAUCGUUGAGGAUGCAUGUCUCAUGCAGCCGGAAAGUAUCAAAGCAGCUUCAGCUUGCCUUUAGUGCACUUUUACAUUUUAGACCUCAGAUCAGGUGGGACUACCCGCUGAACUUAAGCAUAUCAAUAAGCGGAGGA